AAAGAAAAAAUUCAUUCGUGUCGGUCAGUUUUCGCGGAGCAGUGUACGUAUUUUUUUUUCUAAUAAGUGAAAUUAUCAUAAAAAUAAAAAGCCCCUUUAUAAUCUCAAUAUAAAAAAAAACAAUAUCGAAAUAAAAACAGUGAAAAAAGUUCUCUCUCUCAAUCCCCCAAGUGCAAGUGUGACAAUAAAAAUUAACCUAAAAAAAAUCUCAUACACAGGAAUCACAAAAACUCCUACAGCGAAUCAAAAAUGAAUUUCUAUAAAUAAGAAAAUUUUUAAUAAUUUUCCCUUCUCAUUCGUGAAAAGGUGAAAUAUAAAACAUUUAUUUCUCCCAAUAACCAAAUAAAAUACAAAUAUUUAACCAAAACAACAAGAAACAACAAACAAAUUUCCAAUUGUGUCGUUUUAAUUAAUCAUCAAGGCGGGAAUCCGCAAAUUCUAAAUCCCAUUCAAAUUCCAAUUCGAAGGUACGUUACAAUUGAACUUGCGGUAAGAUUUUACUAUAACUAUAAAAUCUACGAGCCCCACAGGCGGAUUGCCCCUAGACAUUAUAACAGCGCCGAAACAAAAGAAGUUAUAAAGGCUAAAAAUAGAGAUUUUGUAUACUUUUUUUUUAGUGAUAUGUACCCAAAUUUUUGACUUAUUUAACCAAAUGGCUCUAAAUUUUGACCAACUGAAAUAUUUCACUUACUUGACUGAUAUGAACAUUAAUAUUGUAAACAUUGUAAAGCUUGUGUCCAGGUCCUGAUCGCUAUAUCAUUUGGAGAAAACGAAAAAACCUUUCAGAUAUUAUAUGGGGCUAGUUGUUAAACCCGAUAUUUAGCUUGAAUUUUGCAAGAAAUUUGAAUAAUUUUUCUACAAUACUAAUUUGAAAAACUAAG